GUGCUCACUUUGGCAGCACAUAUACUAACACUGAACAAUAUAGACAUUAGAAUAACCCCCACACAAGGAUGACUAGCAAAUUUGUAAAGUGUUACAUAUUUUA